rnacentral:rRNA from 1 species
AUACGUAUGGAGCAAGCGUUAUCCGGAUUUACUGGGUGUAAAGGGUGCGUAGGCGGCAGGGCAAGUCAGAUGUGAAAGCCCGGGGCUCAACCCCGGUAGUGCAUUUGAAACUGCUUUGCUGGAGUACGGGAGAGGUAAGCGGAAUUCCUAGUGUAGCGGUGAAAUGCGUAGAUAUUAGGAGGAACACCAGUGGCGAAGGCGGCUUACUGGACCGUAACUGACGCUGAGGCACGAAAGCGUGGGGAGC